rnacentral:rRNA from 1 species
GACGCUGGCGGCGUGCCUAAUACAUGCAAGUAGAACGCUGAAGAAAGGAGCUUGCUUCUUUUGGAUGAGUUGCGAACGGGUGAGUAACGCGUAGGUAACCUGCCUUGUAGCGGGGGAUAACUAUUGGAAACGAUAGCUAAUACCGCAUAACAGCUUUUGACACAUGUUAGAAGCUUGAAAGAUGCAAUUGCAUCACUACGAGAUGGACCUGCGUUGUAUUAGCUAGUAGGUAGGGUAACGGCCUACCUAGGCGACGAUACAUAGCCGACCUGAGAGGGUGAUCGGCCACACUGGGACUGAGACACGGCCCAGACUCCUACGGGAGGCAGCAGUAGGGAAUCUUCGGCAAUGGGGGCAACCCUGACCGAGCAACGCCGCGUGAGUGAAGAAGGUUUUCGGAUCGUAAAGCUCUGUUGUAAGAGAAGAAUGUGUGUGAGAGUGGAAAGUUCACACAGUGACGGUAACUUACCAGAAAGGGACGGCUAACUACGUGCC